CCAGAAUAGUAGUUGAAUCAACUUAAAUCAUUGUUUUAUACAAUAUACAAUGUAUAUUCACUUUUACUACCAACUGAUAAAUUAAAACAAUCUUUACCAUUCAGUGAUAACAAGCACUUUUUGUUACAUUUUAAUAUUUUAUGAUGUAUUUAAAUGAGUAGUUAUUGUUGCAAACUCCAUUAGAAAUUUGAAUUGAGAUCAGUUUUGAAAAAAGGGAAAGGGGGAUGUGAAAAAAAAUGGUAGGGGGGGGGGUUAAAUUUUUUGCAUUUCAGAUUUCAUAAAUAAAAAGAAAAUUUCUUCAAACAUUUUUUUGAGAGGAUUAAUAUUCAACAGCAUAGUGAUUGCUCAAAGGCAAAAAAAUUAUUUUAAGUUCAUUAGACCACAUUCAUUCUGUGUCCAAAACCUAUGCUGUGUCAACUAUUUAAUCACAAUCCAAAUUUAGAGCUGAAUCCAGCUUGAAUGUUGUGUCCAUACUUGCCCCAACCGUUCAGGGUUCAACCUCUGCGGUCGUAUAAAGCUGCGCCCUGGGGAGCAUCUGGUUAAUU
rnacentral:lncRNA from 1 species